CUUCCACUGCUUCCCACGGAUCCAGUACCCCCACCUUCAGAUGUAUGGCUGCAUGGACUUCUCAGAUGUCCUAUUUUGUUUGAAUACAAGU